AUGGGAAGAGUUAUAAUUGGAAAAGGAAACAAAGUUGCAAUUAUGGAUAUAGACAAUGAAAAAUGCCAGGAGCAAUCAAUGGAUUACCAGGAACAACCGUUAAGUGUGAGAAAACAUCCAAUAGAGACAACACCUAAGGAAAUCACGGGGUCUAUAAACAAGCUACUUAACAUCCACCCGCAAAAACUUUGCUUCCCCUAUCAUCCCAAUGAGCCCAUCUCAUGCGCAUUACACCUAACAAAUGUCACAGAUGAAAAUGUGGCAUUUAGACUUUUUGAUAAGAGCGGAAAGUCCCCAUGGUGCUUCACAAAGUUGCCGUUGUAUGGCAUUGUGUCUCCGAAAUCUGUGCACACUUUGAUUGUGACAACGAAAGAAGAGAUGAAGCUGAAGGACGAACGUGAUUUCGAUCUUGUUAUUCAGAGCAGUUUAUUGGGAGAUAAGUAUAAUGUGGUAUUUAAAGACCAAUCUGAGUGUGAUCAACUAUUCGAGGAAGCCAUUGUCGAUAUGGUGCAUGAAGUGACACUAGAAGCUUAUUAUGUGCACUGGAAUAGAAUAUAUGAGCAUCGUAAUAUAUUAGUGAAGUAUAAUCCUGACAAAUUGAUUUCCCUGGAUGCACAUCCAAGAGAGCCAUGGAUUGUCUCAGGUCAUAUAAGUGGACAUGCUCACGUAUGGAACCAUGAGAUCAAGUUACCAAUCAAUUCCUUUAAGGUCUCCGAAUGUGCAGUUUGUUCAAUCAAAUUUGUUGCAAGAAAGGAUUGA
rnacentral:rRNA from 1 species